CAGCAGUUGCCUUAGUAAUAAUCUAGGCAAAACAAAGAGAAAUACUUGAUACAAGUGGCACCAAAAAACAAAAUAAAGCACCACCAAAGCAAGAAUAAAAAGAAAUUACAUGUGAGAAUGUAUCAGAAAAUCCUGUUAGUGAAGAUCAAUAAAAUAAAUGAGUGGACAAGCAAAUAAUGCAACUUUCCUGAAACAACUUCGAGCAAAUAUAACCCCAGUGGCAAAGCCAAAGAGCUACUGCAGGGGUAAGUGCAACCCCAUGUGGAUUUGGACUGAUUUUGGAGUCCCGCUUAGUAUUAGUUUUAAGUCUAUGAAUACCUAUAUUUAUAAUCUUAACAAGUUUUUAGACAAUAAAAGUUUCCUGCAUUUGUUGCUCUUGAAUUGUUAGGUGUAAUGCCCAUGGAACCCAGGGCAGGCAUGAAGCCCAAGGAAGCUUAGCUGUGAAGCCUAAAACCUUGUUUACUGUUGACACUACCUUCACUACACUGCAAACACCCCGACGAUCUGUUUUCCUUCUGCAAUUUUACUGCCCAGGUACUCUUGGUUAUAAAUUCAGGCUAUUUACAUAGUUUUCUACUCAUUGAGGCCAUUUAACAAACCCCCAAUCUAGCCUGGAUAACCAGCCUUGCAAGCUGUCCAACAUCAAGAAUGGCAGGAGCAACAGUAAAAGUGGCAAUGCAAGAACUUAAUCUUGAAAAAAUUGACAAGUCCAG
rnacentral:misc_RNA from 1 species